AGUGAACGCUGGCGGUAGGCCUAACACAUGCAAGUCGAACGGCAGCACAGUAAGAGCUUGCCCUUACGGGUGGCGAGUGGCGGACGGGUGAGGAAUACAUCGGAAUCUACUUUUUCGUGGGGGAUAACGUAGGGAAACUUACGCUAAUACCGCAUACGACCUACGGGUGAAAGCAGGGGAUCUUCGGACCUUGCGCGAUUGAAUGAGCCGAUGUCGGAUUAGCUAGUUGGCGGGGUAAAGGCCCACCAAGGCGACGAUCCGUAGCUGGUCUGAGAGGAUGAUCAGCCACACUGGAACUGAGACACGGUCCAGACUCCUACGGGAGGCAGCAGUGGGGAAUAUUAGACAAUGGGCGCAAGCCUGAUCCAGCCAUACCGCGUGGGUGAAGAAGGCCUUCGGGUUGUAAAGCCCUUUUGUUGGGAAAGAAAAGCAGCAGGUUAAUACCCCGCUGUUCUGACGGUACCCAAAGAAUAAGCACCGGCUAACUUCGUG
rnacentral:rRNA from 1 species